rnacentral:rRNA from 1 species
ACGGCCACAUUGGGACUGAGACACGGCCCAGACUCCUACGGGAGGCAGCAGUGGGGAAUAUUGCACAAUGGGGGAAACCCUGAUGCAGCGACGCCGCGUGGAGGAAGAAGGUCUUCGGAUUGUAAACUCCUGUUGUUGAGGAAGAUAAUGACGGUACUCAACAAGGAAGUGACGGCUAACUACGUGCCAGCAGCCGCGGUAAAACGUAGGUCACAAGCGUUGUCCGGAAUUACUGGGUGUAAAGGGAGCGCAGGCGGGAAGACAAGUUGGAAGUGAAAUCCAUGGGCUCAACCCAUGAACUGCUUUCAAAACUGUUUUUCUUGAGUAGUGCAGAGGUAGGCGGAAUUCCCGGUGUAGCGGUGGAAUGCGUAGAUAUCGGGAGGAACACCAGUGGCGAAGGCGGCCUACUGGGCACCAACUGACGCUGAGGCUCGAAAGUGUGGGUAGCAAACAGGAUUAGAUACCCUGGUAGUCCACACCGU